rnacentral:rRNA from 1 species
CGCUGGCGGCGUGCUUAACACAUGCAAGUCGAACGAUGACUUUUGUGCUUGCACAGAAUGAUUAGUGGCGAACGGGUGAGUAACACGUGAGUAACCUGCCCCUGACUCUGGGAUAAGCCUGGGAAACUGGGUCUAAUACUGGAUAUGCACCGUAGACCGCAUGGUUUUUGGUGGAAAGAAUUUUGGUCAGGGAUGGACUCGCGGCCUAUCAGCUUGUUGGUGAGGUAAUGGCUCACCAAGGCGACGACGGGUAGCCGGCCUGAGAGGGUGACCGGCCACACUGGGACUGAGACACGGCCCAGACUCCUACGGGAGGCAGCAGUGGGGAAUAUUGCACAAUGGGCGAAAGCCUGAUGCAGCGACGCCGCGUGAGGGAUGACGGCCUUCGGGUUGUAAACCUCUUUCAGUAGGGAAGAAGCGAAAGUGACGGUACCUGCAGAAGAAGCGCCGGCUAACUACGUGCCAGCAGCCGCGGUAAUACGUAGGGCGCAAGCGUUAUCCGGAAUUAUUGGGCGUAAAGAGCUCGUAGGCGGUUUGUCGCGUCUGCCGUGAAAGUCCGAGGCUCAACUUCGGAUCUGCGGUGGGUACGGGCAGACUAGAGUGAUGUAGGGGAGACUGGAAUUCCUGGUGUAGCGGUGAAAUGCGCAGAUAUCAGGAGGAACACCGAUGGCGAAGGCAGGUCUCUGGGCAUCUACUGACGCUGAGGAGCGAAAGCAUGGGGAGCGAACAGGAUUAGAUACCCUGGUAGUCCAUGCCGUAAACGUUGGGCACUAGGUGUGGGGGACAUUCCACGUUUUCCGCGCCGUAGCUAACGCAUUAAGUGCCCCGCCUGGGGAGUACGGCCGCAAGGCUAAAACUCAAAGGAAUUGACGGGGGCCCGCACAAGCGGCGGAGCAUGCGGAUUAAUUCGAUGCAACGCGAAGAACCUUACCAAGGCUUGACAUGUGCUAGACCGCCGUGGAAAU